CUGGCUGGCAAACAUGCCCUCUUCGUUGGGGUAUCCCGCGAUUAUGCAAGAUGAGGAAGAAGUAGAGAGCUCGGGGUACCAAAUUACAUAUAUAUCUGUCAAAAUGAUGUAGGACCUAAAGUCUCUCUGUAAGUUGAUCCUUUUGACCCCAUGAUUAGGAGCUUCACAAUGUGGUACCACACCUGGAAACCUCCAGAACAAGAUCUCAAGGAAACACAGGAAAUUCCUGAAACAGCAAAACCCCCUAUGUGAAGACGUCUGUUAUUCCUUUGUGUAUCAGGAGCAUCACUGUUAAUUAACUGUUGAUACACUUAAAACAGCUUGGUUGGCAAUGUCCUUUUUGAAUAAAGAAGAGCCAGGUGUGUUUUUCAGGAUGAACUAGACAAUGCUGUCACAAGUUUACCUCUACAUCUUAUUGCCUUGGAAAAAUUUCCUGCAUAUCGUGGCACAAGAUGGUUGGCUCUCCAGGCAGCAGUUGGCGUUGUGAAUCAGUCAUCUCAGCAUGUGUCUCCAAGAUCCCACAGCAGGGGGAAAAAGAGGUGGAGGGUCACAUGCCUGGUGUUACAUACUUUGAGGCAGAGGUGGUAGGUGCCAUUUCUGCUCACAGCUCAUGGACCAGAACAAAGCCAUGCAUACCUGAGAGAGGACCAGAAAAUAUUCUGAAGCAGAUGGCUAUUUGGUGAGCAGUAAAUGUUUCUGUUACAACAGGUCUUGACAAACUUCAAAUGUACUCCUACUAGGCCUACUUCACACCACUAAACUCUGUACUUCCUGUUGCUUGAUGGCAUCUUAUGCUGAUGUUUUCUAUCAUAGUGUCCGGCACAAAACAAGAGCUCAAUACAUAUACUUAAUAGCGCAUUUAGAUCUAAGAGUUUCACUUUAUCAAAAGAUUUUAGUACCUACGUAGCUAUUGGGCCACAUCAGGAAAAUGUAACUGCUUCUACAACUGCAAAGAAAAUUUAACUAAUUGUAUGCUCAUCCCAGCUUCAGGUUUUUGUUUUGUUUUGUUUGCUAGCUUCUUUUUAUUUCAUAAUUUUUGCUUUGUUUUCUGCCCUUGAGCAGAGGUUCAUUUCUAGUUUUCACUGGAAUUAGAACAACAGUUGUGUCCAUAUGCAAUAACAGUGUUUCAAAUUCUUUGGGGAUUUGCCCACAGUGUCUGCAGUCAUAUUGUGACACCAGUUGUGAUGCCAGUCUCUGUAAAUCAGACUUAUUCCCAGUGAGACAUUAUAUAUUUUUGCAGCCAAUACGAUCUAUUUUAUAGCGAUUUAUAGCAUUGUCUCUGAAAAGGAUACUUUGAUUUGUGUCUUGUUUUUGUCAGUUUUCAACACUUUGAUUGUGGCCCAGGUUAAUUAAUAUUUUGUGUCUAGGUUUCCUCAUCUCUAAAAUAAAGAUGUUUAUUUCUAUAGCUUCAUGUUGACAAUUAAAUUAUAUAAUUUAUGUUACUCAACUAGCAAGUAAAUUGAUGUACAGUGUAUUUAUAAAUGAUAGAUACUAUCUUUAUGUUAAUUUUUAUUAUUGUCAUCAUUAUCAUCAAUUUUCAGGUCCGUGUUCUGACUAAAAGGAAGCCACACUCUGUCGAAAACAAGCUUUGUAAGAAAAUUUUGAAGUAUUUACUUAUAUCUAACCAUUCAUUCCACCUUUUCUCCCAAAUAACACUCUAAUAUCUUGAGACAUCUUGUCUAGGGCCAGAUUUCAUAAAUGCUUGUGAGGCAGGAGAAUAAGUUCCAGAGGCAGUUCACACUGCCUAAAGCCAAUUCACACUGACUUCCUAUAACUAAAUCUAAAGGAAAAUCUCAACUUUCCUCGCCCAAGUAACAAAAGAAUCAGAGGUUAUACUCCCUUUGCAACCUGCCCCUUUUCUGCCUGGCAGAUGAAAAAUGAAAAGUACCUAUGACUGGUCCCCUCCCACGACCAGCCAGACUGGUCACGGAUCACUACUUCAUUUACAUAGGGCGUAAACCGAGUAACCAAUGGGAAACCUCUAGAGGGUAUUUAAACCCCAGAAAAUUCUGUAACCGGUGGUCUCCAGCAGGUUGCUCAAUCUUGCUGCCACUCUGUGGGAUGUACUUUUGUUUCAAUAAAUCUGUGCUCUUC
rnacentral:lncRNA from 1 species